GGGGUUGUGGCUCAGUGGUAGAGCGCUCGCCUAGCACGUGAAAGGCCUUGGGUUCUAUUCUCAGCACCA
rnacentral:tRNA from 1 species